rnacentral:rRNA from 1 species
GAUGAACGCUGGCGGCGUGCUUAACACAUGCAAGUCGAACGAGAAGUGAAGACGGAAACCUUCGGGCGGAAGGCUUUAUUUCGAGUGGCGGACGGGUGAGUAACGCGUGGGUAACCUGCCUCAUACAGGGGGAUAACAGUUGGAAACGACUGUUAAUACCGCAUAAGACCACAGCACCGCAUGGUGCGGGGGUAAAAACUCCGGUGGUAUGAGAUGGACCCGCGUUCGAUUAGCCAGUUGGCGGGGUAACGGCCCACCAAAGCGACGAUCGAUAGCCGAUCUGAGAGGAUGACCGGCCACAUUGGGACUGAGACACGGCCCAAACUCCUACGGGAGGCAGCAGUGGGGAAUAUUGCACACUGGGGGAAACCCUGAUGCAGCGACGCCGCGUGAGUGAAGAAGUAUUUCGGUAUGUAAAGCUCUAUCAGCAGGGAAGAACAUGACGGUACCUGAGUAAGAAGCCCCGGCUAACUACGUG